CGCCUCUGCGCAAGUACGCGGUGACGCACGGGGGCGGGGCCGAGCGUCCCCCGCCUCGGGACGCGCCUCCGGGAAGCGCCUGUGGAGAAACCUCAGGAGUCCAUAGUUUUGACGACCAUGAAGGGACCUAAAGGGAACUUCUCUCCUUUACCUAAACUCUACAAGGAACUGGCAUACUGGUAUCAGCAGAGGCCUCUUAUACCUAUCCACCUCCUUGGAAAUCCCAGAUAAUUUGGAUGCUGCCACCAUGUGGACAAAUCUGAGCUAGAUUAGUGGAGAACCCUCAACCAACAUCAACUGCUAGCAAGAGAGGAAAUGAAUUGCCAGAUGAUAGCAGCCCCCAUCAGGAUCCCAAGCAAAGCGAACAGAAAAACCAGGUCAGCAGCCCCUCGAGGACUGUGAACAAACACAGUUAUUGUUAUUUUAAGCUACUAAAUUUUGGGGUGCUGCAACAGAUAAAUGUUAUGGGUACUUUUGAAAAAUGCCAAUUCCUGCCUGUCCUCCAUUUCUCUAGAUAGAGUGAUCAAGAAUUUCUUGGUAAGGAGCUCCACUAAUAUGUUUGUGGUGGCUGUUUUUCAUCAAUAAAGUUUGGAAUGCACUAGUGUAGACCUUGGAGACCAAAUCCUACUGAGUUACCUGGACCUCCGAAGCCCACUAAACCUGCUCCAUUCACGGCACCUGGGCCAAGGAAACUUGCUCUCUGUCACCUAGUGUACAGGUCAAGACCUUUUCUAUUGCAAAUGUCAAAAAACCCAACUAGAACUGCUUAAAGAAAAUGUCUUCUAAACAUUUGAAAAUAAUUUUUAAAAGCAAUAGGGCUAAAUUCAGGCAUGGCAUGUGCCUGUGCCCUCCUCAUUGCUUGUCUCCACACUGGCUUCAUUCUCAGGCUGCCACUGGCACUUCCAGGAUCAACUUAGUGGAAAGGUUCUCUCAGUAGUCUCCACGAAGUCUAACUAUAUUAUUGGCUUUGACUGGCUCCAUUCUUGAACCAAAUCUCUGACUAGGAAAAUGCAAUGCUGUAAUUGGUCAGGCUGGAGCCACCUGGAGCCAAAAGCAGUGUCAUCUGAAGUACGUAGGACAAGGAGUUAGGGAGAUAGCAAUUCUCCAGAGAAAAACUGCUAGAGCAGGUGCCAGGAAAGGGAUGAAUGAAUGUUGGGCAGCAAAACCUGCUGAUAUUUGCUGUGGCUGGACAUGGAGAUCAGAUUUUCUGAUGUCACUUAAAUCCUGAAAAUUCGCACUGGUUCACCUGGCUACUGGAAAUUUUCACCUUCCCAGAUCUCAAAUGUUGGGAUGCCAUGCUUUGCAAUGCAUCUCGGCCGUCACCUGAAUGAGGCAGGCAGGUUGCCCUCUCCAUCAAAAAUGCACCCCCCUCCCAUGCUCUGUAAAACGAUUUGUGAAGUAUUGCCCAUGCGAGAUAAUUUAAUCACUAAGGGCCCUAUCGAUAUGUCUCAGUGUUCAUAAUCCUCUAAUUUCAUGUCUGUCUUUGUAUCAUAAUAAAAGCUGGAUUAAGG